UAUUGGACCAAAAACCUCCGCACGUAAUAACCUGGAACACGGUCUAACACUUGAUGACUGCUCUGUCAAUUCCUCGUCAUCAGUUAGGAACCUAGGUGUGUUAGAUUAUUCCGUGCAGAGU